rnacentral:rRNA from 1 species
CUAGCUGUAAACGAUGGAUACUAGGCGUUGAGAGUAUCGACCCUCUCAGUGUCGUAGCUAACGCGUUAAGUAUCCCGCCUGGGGAGUACGCGCGCAAGCGUGAAACUCAAAGGAAUUGACGGGGGCCCGCACAAGCGGUGGAGUAUGUGGUUUAAUUCGAUGCAACGCGAGGAACCUUACCAGGGCUUGACAUGUCCGGAACCCUGCCCAAAGGCGGGGGUGCCUACGGGAACCGGAACACAGGUGGUGC